rnacentral:rRNA from 1 species
UACACUCCUGCGGGAGGCAGCAGUGGGGAAUUUUGGACAAUGGGCGAAAGCCUGAUCCAGCAAUGCCGCGUGUGUGAAGAAGGCCUUCGGGUUGUAAAGCACUUUUGUCCGGAAAGAAAUCCUUGGCUCUAAUACAGUCGGGGGAUGACGGUACCGGAAGAAUAAGCACCGGCUAACUACGUGCCAGCAGCCGCGGUAAUACGUAGGGUGCGAGCGUUAAUCGGAAUUACUGGGCGUAAAGCGUGCGCAGGCGGUUUGCUAAGACCGAUGUGAAAUCCCCGGGCUCAACCUGGGAACUGCAUUGGUGACUGGCAGGCUAGAGUAUGGCAGAGGGGGGUAGAAUUCCACGUGUAGCAGUGAAAUGCGUAGAGAUGUGGAGGAAUACCGAUGGCGAAGGCAGCCCCCUGGGCCAAUACUGACGCUCAUGCACGAAAGCGCGGGGAGCAAACAGGAUUAGAUACCCCAGUAGUCCCAUGAU